ACGCUAGCGGCAGGCCUAAUACAUGCAAGUCGAACGAUACUCUUUAGCUUGCUAAGGAGGAAAGUGGCGCACGGGUGCGUAACGCGUAUGCAACCUACCUUAAUCAGGGGGAUAGCCCGAAGAAAUUCGGAUUAACACCGCAUAAAAUCACAGUACAGCAUUGUACAAUGAUCAAAUAUUUAUAGGAUUAAGAUGGGCAUGCGUGACAUUAGUUAGUUGGCGGGGUAACGGCCCACCAAGACCACGAUGUCUAGGGGAUCUGAGAGGAUGACCCCCCACACUGGUACUGAGACGCGGACCAGACUCCUACGGGAGGCAGCAGUAAGGAAUAUUGGUCAAUGGAGGCAACUCUGAACCAGCCAUGCCGCGUGCAGGAAGACAGCCCUCUGGGUCGUAAACUGCUUUUAUUCGGGAAUAAACCUGCUUACGUGUAAGUAGCUGAAUGUACCGAAGGAAUAAGGAUCGGCUAACUCCGUGCCAGCAGCCCCGGUAAUACGGAGGAUCCAAGCGUUAUCCGGAUUUAUUGGGUUUAAAGGGUGCGUAGGCGGCUUUUUAAGUCAGGGGUGAAAGACGGUGGCUCAACCAUCGCAGUGCCCUUGAUACUGAAGAGCUUGAAUGAAUUAGAGGUAGGCGGAAUGUGACAAGUAGCGGUGAAAUGCAUAGAUAUGUCACAGAACACCGAUUGCGAAGGCGGCUUACUAUGAUUUUAUUGACGCUGAGGCACGAAAGCGUGGGGAUCAAAC
rnacentral:rRNA from 1 species